CGCUCAGGUGGCAUAGUGGUUAAGCGCCCGCCUCGGUUGCGGGAGAUCGUGGGUUCGAUCCCCGGUCGAGUUA